GAGAUGUUUGGGAGCACAAGGGAGGGGGAUUGGAGCCCAGGUAAGCAGCUGGGUUUGCUCACAGGCUGGGAGGUGGGACACAGCAGGGGCGGGGGAAAAGGGCUGUGCCCCCAGGGUACGUCCCUGCGCUAUAAAAAUUACCUUGCCUGGAUCCAGAGUCAGGGGGGAAAAGCAGCUUUCACCUCUGCUACUGACUCCAACAGCCUUGUCCAGGCAGGAGGACCCUGAGCAAAGGCAGGACCUGAGGAUGAAUGUCCAGGCACUGACAGUCACCACGCUCCUCCUGGUGCUGCUCUGCCCAGCCCCAGCACCGUCUGGGGCACUGGGGCUCCAGGCCAGCAACCUGGAGAGGCAGGCAGGGGCUGGGGGCCCUGAAGAAGCCCCUUGGCCACCUGGAGAUGGAGGGGACAAGCUGCCUGGGCAGGGCUCAGAGAGGAGCCACGCUCUGGCCAAGGCAUGGAAGGCGAUGAGAGAGGCACAGCCCAGCUCCAGGUCCUCCAGCAAGGCCAUGGCCAAAGCCCUGCAGGGCAGGGGGGAGCAGUUUGCCCCUGGCAAGCCCUGGAGGCUCCCAGGGCAGCCCUCCCGCAGCAGGACGGCGAGGCUGAGCCACCAGCUGAGGGACUUCGGGAAAUUCAACAGCGACACGCACUCCUGCCACAGCAUCCAGUCCCAGCCCUGCCAGAAGCCCUCUGACUGUGGGGGCUGCCUGGGGCUCUACACCUGCAAGCUGCCUGCUGGCACCUGCAACGUGAAAUCUGUCUCCAGGCAGACGGGUGAGUUCUGAGUCUCCUGGCAAUUGGCACCAGGGAUCCC
rnacentral:lncRNA from 12 species